GAUGAACGCUGGCGGCGUGCUUAACACAUGCAAGUCGAGCGAGAAGUUUUGAAAAGAUUCUUCGGAUGCAAUUUAAAAUGGAAAGCGGCGGACGGGUGAGUAACGCGUAGGCAACCUGCCCCAUACAAAGGGAUAGCAUUUGGAAACGAAUAUUAAUACCUUAUGAAACUUAACUAGUGCAUGCUAGGUAGGUCAAAGAUUUAUCGGUAUGGGAUGGGCCUGCGUCUGAUUAGCUAGUUGGUGAGGUAACGGCUCACCAAGGCGACGAUCAGUAGCCGACCUGGGAGGGUGAACGGCCACAUUGGGACUGAGACACGGUCCAAACUCCUACGGGAGGCAGCAGUGGGGAAUAUUGCACAAUGGGGGAAACCCUGAUGCAGCAACGCCGCGUGAAGGAUGAAGGCCUUUGGGUCGUAAAGUUCUGUUCUAGGUGAUGAAAACUGACAGUAACCUAGGAGAAAGCCCCGGCUAACUCCGUG
rnacentral:rRNA from 1 species